rnacentral:lncRNA from 1 species
UGGGCUCAAUGUGAAUCAAAUCUUGAGGUGUAUUUCUUAACACUCUAUACCUAUCAAUAUUAUUUAGACUACCAAUAAUCAUACAUUCUCAGAUCAUUUUGCAGGUACGACAUAUUAAUCUCAAGAUUCUUCUAGGGCAAUAACAUUCAAUUCAAUGACUAUAUGACAUGACAAUACAAGUAUCCCAAUUGAACCUAUCCCAUCAUUUCAAUAUAAAAUUAUUUCUCAUCUUUCUUCCCUUGAAUCUCCUUUACCACCACUGCCACCACCCAUCAUCAAACUCUCCUCCC